GACGAACGCUGGCGGCGUGCUUAACACAUGCAAGUCGAACGGAAAGGCCUGCUUUCCCUUGUGGAUUGCGGGUACUCGAGUGGCGAACGGGUGAGUAACACGUGAGUGAUCUGCCCCCAACUUGGGUAUAAGCCUGGGAAACUGGGUCUAAUUCCCGAUAGGACUGCAGGGUGGUGCCUGUGGUGGAAAACGAUUUUCUAGUGGUUGGGGAUGAGCUCGCGGCCUAUCAGCUUGUUGGUGGGGUAAUGGCCUACCAAGGCGGCGACGGGUCGCCGGCCUGAGAGGGUGGACGGCCACAUUGGGACUGAGAUACGGCCCAGACUCCUACGGGAGGCAGCAGUGGGGAAUAUUGCACAAUGGGCGGAAGCCUGAUGCAGCGACGCCGCGUGGGGGAUGACGGCCUUCGGGUUGUAAACUCCUUUCGACCGCGAGGAAGCCACCUGGUUGGAAGGGUGGUGACGGUAGUGGUAGAAGAAGCACCGGCUAACUACGUG
rnacentral:rRNA from 1 species